rnacentral:rRNA from 1 species
AGGGUGAACCUGCGGAGGGAUCAUUACCGAGUUUACAACUCCCAAACCCCUGUGAACAUACCAACUGUUGCCUCGGCGGAUCAGCCCGCUCCCGGUAAAACGGGACGGCCCGCCAGAGGACCCCUAAACUCUGUUUCUAUAUGUAACUUCUGAGUAAAACCAUAAAUAAAUCAAAACUUUCAACAACGGAUCUCUUGGUUCUGGCAUCGAUGAAGAACGCAGCAAAAUGCGAUAAGUAAUGUGAAUUGCAGAAUUCAGUGAAUCAUCGAAUCUUUGAACGCACAUUGCGCCCGCCAGUAUUCUGGCGGGCAUGCCUGUUCGAGCGUCAUUUCAACCCUCAAGCCCAGCUUGGUGUUGGGACUCGCGAGUCAAAUCGCGUUCCCCAAAUUGAUUGGCGGUCACGUCGAGCUUCCAUAGCGUAGUAGUAAAACCCUCGUUACUGGUAAUCGUCGCGGCCACGCCGUUAAACCCCAACUUCUGAAUGUUGACCUCGGAUCAGGUAGGAAUACCCGCUGAACUUAAGCAUAUCAA